rnacentral:lncRNA from 1 species
AAAUGAGUUGAAAGGUGAUGAAUUACAGUAUGUUAAACUAUUUUAUCUGUCUCAAUUUACUCAGCUUUAGAUAUUUUAGAUGGUAUUUGUUUACUUACUGGGAUUAUAUAAUCUCACCACCCUUUUUUCCACCCAUUUCAAGCUUAGGAUAGUCGGUAGAUAGCUCACUUUGUUAAGGGCUACAAUUGGACUUGCAUCCUCAAAAACUAUAGGUUUACCGCUUUUGAUACUUUUGGUCGUUCGUGGGCCCACGUGUCACUGUAAAUUAAAUUUUAUACUUUGGUUAUCUAUAUUACAGUAUGUAUGAAUUUAUUUAGCUUUUACGCUACAAAAAUUAUUUACCGAUAACUCUAUAAAUAUUGUUUUAUAAGAAAAUAGAAUAUUUUAUUAAAUAUUUUUUAUUAUAUUCAAA